UUUGACCCCUGCACUUUUUACCAUCCAAAAACAAUAUUACGCUAUAUUAAAUUGACACUGGUUGAGCUCUAGGACCAAGUGGAAAACAACUGUUUGUGUUGAAGCCUGUUUCCCAUUAGAGCAUACUGUAAAGAUACCCCCCCCCCCCCACACACACACACACACCCGUGUCCCCCCCACUUCUAAAGUGAAAAUUACGUCCAUGGUCUCAUUGUAUAAUCUCAGGACUCCACCCAUGCAAACCAGUUGGCUUUUAUUGAUGUUUAAAAAAACUUACUCUGCUGUAAUCUUCAGCGCGGACUGUUUUGCAUCUUUUUUACUCGAUGUUUUGAUUUCACAGCAUGGGAAGCCAACGUUUAGUGCUGUCUAACUGCAGCAGUAGGUGGCUGUUUCCAGUUCUGAAGCCGACGGCACGCCACCUGCUCAGCACCACACAGACAGACGUGCUGUCGGGUGAACAAGUGAGAGUACAACAGAAAAAAUAAUAAAACAGAUGAAAAUACGGCUCUAACCUCUGUUCUUUUUUACAUAUGCCACUCACUGAUGAGGCUGCUAAACACAGCAUGAACUUUCUUUCUUGAGGCAGUGGUGGAGCUAGGAGUUUUCUGUGUGUGGGGCCAUCAAGGGGGGCCACAAAAUUUAUUGAAGGGCCACGUAUUGAUCGGACACCUGUACACAAGAUUUCAUGCUAGAAAUUCCUAUUUUGCUCAUUAUGGGGCGACGGUGGCACGGGAGUUAAGUGCUCGCCCCGUAAUCGGAAGGUUGCAGGUUCGAGCCCCGCUCAGUCUGCCACUGUUGUUGUGUCCUUGGGCAAGACACUUAACCCACGUUGCCUGCUGGUGGUGGUCGAAGGGACUGGUGGCGCCAGUGCUUGGCAGCCUCGCCUCUGUCAGUGCGCCCCAGGGCAGCUGUGGCUACAUUGUAGCUCAUCCCCACCAGUGUGUGAAUGUGUGUGUGUGAAUGGGUGAAUGACUGAUUGCAUUGUAAAGUGCCUUGGGGGGUUUCAAGAGCUCUAGAAGGCGCUAUAUCAAAUACAGGCCAUUUACCAUUAUCACCUUUUGUUUGGACUUGGAGUUGCAUCCACCUGUAACCUAAUCAUCGUGCAAAGGAAAGAUGAGGGACAGGACAUGAGCACUCCAAGGGAGCCAAUCAGAUUUCAACAGGGACCAAUGCCCCUGUGGCCCCGGCCCUAGAACCGCCAAUGUCUUGUGGUCAAAGAGGAUCUUGCAGGGAUCACGAUGGACUUUCGAUAUUGUCUGGAAAAAAAUUGCAAGUGAGUUGAAAGGUUUUGCUGUUGAGUUGCUGCAACUUUCACAUGUCGUUUCCAAACUUUUCAGCUUCAGACCCUCAAAAUGGCAUCAAAGCAUGUGACCCCAGACAUCUCGAAUGUGCUUAAAAAGCUAAAUAAUUACGCUAUUUGUGUGGGUAGGAGUCAGCUGGUUCAGGAUGCCUCCUGGUCUGGAUUUAGUUUUCUAUGCAUGUCCCACUUAAGGGAGAUCUUGAGGAAAACCCAUUGGAGGGAUUAUUUCUUCUUUCUGAUCUGGGAAUGCCUUCCUCAGGAGGAGCUGGAGAAGUUGAGCUGACCUUUGAUUCAUUUUGUAAAACGUGUUAAUUUUAAGUCGAGGUAAACUCAGACAAUGUCACGUUAAAGUUUCAGCCCCUCCGUGUUUCGCCGAGUCCUGACUUCACACGAUUCAUGACACUUAGUGGAUGUUUGUCAUGAAAACAAUAAAAACAGACAGAGAUGUUCAGUUGAACGAUAUGAAGUUCAAAUCUGGUGCAAAAAGAAAUUCACUCUGCCACCAUCAGGUAACAUCAGCAGUUUGAUCAAUCAGUGGAGGAUAAAUCGCCGUGGUAACAGAGUCGACCAUGCUGGACAGUGGAAGGGAAAGACUGACUCAUCACGCUUAAUAAAACAAAGAGCAAACAACAAGUGCGUCAGGGACGGAUGUUCAGCAGCUAUAAAUGUCAAAAGCAUCAUUUCCCAGGGAGAGAGAUCACAGCAGAGAUCUCAGGGAGAGAUGUGAUCUCUCACCAGUUUCCACGCCUGAAAAUGGAUGUUUUCAUUUUAGAUGCACGUACUUUCUGUGUUUCCAAACAGCCCGCAGAUGCUGAUGUUUACGAGGUGAUGUUUACAGUUAAGAUGACCGGGAGGUGAUUUCAUCAUCACCGUUCACAGUGGGAGCUCCUCCUUCUCAUCACACUGAGUUUUCCCUGUUAUUAUAAACGCAUCUAAAGGAAGCUUUUGCACAGGAAAGUUAGAUCUCAGGAAGAAAGAUUUAGUUUUUACAUGUUUUUAAAAUAAAUUUUGACACUUUUAAAUGUCAAAGGAUUUUUUUUCCUGCAUUGCAAAUCUGUGCAGAUGUAUUGAGUCAGCCCUGUUUUAAUUUUUAAACAUUUUGUGUCCAACGAGCCAAACGUUUGUGUAAUUUUCUUCAACAUCUUUGAAAGUUUUUGGCUGCUCUUUCACCUCUUUUCAAUCAAGUUUUCAUGUUUGUAGGAAUUCUUCUUCCCAGCCACUUAACUCAGAUUUUGGAAUCAUUCUGACAUUAUAAAGCAGUUUUACCCAUAAAAUAUCAUCUCAGAACCCAUUGAUGCCAGAAUUCAGAGCAGAGAAGAAUGCAUCCAGUACAUCACGCCAAACAACCUGUUGCUUGGUCGAGCCACACAAAGGGGGGACUUUAGAGCUGUUGACUACACCACCUACCCUAUCAAAAGGCUCACUAAAGUACAAACAACAGUCACCAACUUCUGGAAAUCUUGGAGCCAACUUGCUGGCCCAAAUCUGUUCGUUCGAAGUAGGUGGCCUACUGCUGAAAGGAACGUUGCCAUUGGAGACAUUGUUUUGAUCGGCGGCCAAAAUGCACUAAGAGGGCAGUUCAGACUUGGAAAAGUCAGCAACGUGAAUCCUGAUUCUAGAGGUGUUGUUCGAGACGUGUGCGUGAGGGUCUCUCCAAGUUCCAGCGUUUCAAUGAAGAGUCCAAAAUCUGCUACCAAAGAUCCUGAGUCACGCACCGUUUUGCAUCGGCAUGUCCGACGCCUUGUGGUCCUUAUACCGAUAGAAGAUCAAGUCGGAUAAAGCUCGCCUGUAUGCGAUCUUUCUGGGCAUGCCAGAUUGAGUGGGAGGUGUCAUGCUAACUUGGCAGAUAUCGCUCUGUCAACUGUCUUCCCCUCACGCUGUCUCUUCUGCACAGUAUCUGCACAUGAGCUCUGCAUGCAAUCUUCUCACUGGCCAGAGGGGGCUUGUGAACUCUGGUGUGUGUCCUCCUCUAGGUGAGCCAAAUUAAGAAAUCAAGAGCACACAACCUCACAAUUCAGUGGCUUCUCGAGGCCUGCGGCAGGCAUUCAGCCAGUGUGUGACAAACUGAGAUGGCAGGGACAGCAAACAAUUCAACUGUGAGGAGGACUUUUGAUCUUGACAGGCUAUCGGUUUUCACCUGAUACUGAUGCUGACCUUUAUGAUGAUCCUGAAACUGGUCAAAUAAAGACAUCUGAGUGAA